rnacentral:rRNA from 1 species
CCUACGGGAGGCAGCAGUGAGGGAUAUUGGUCAAUGGGGGAAACCCUGAACCAGCAACGCCGCGUGAGGGAUGACGGCCUUCGGGUUGUAAACCUCUGUCCUCUGUGAAGAUAAUGACGGUAACAGAGGAGGAAGCUCCGGCUAACUACGUGCCAGCAGCCGCGGUAAU